rnacentral:rRNA from 1 species
CGCGUAGGCGGUUCGUUAAGUUGCUGGUGAAAUCCCGGGGCUCAACUCCGGGGCUGCCGGCAAGACUGGCGGGCUCGAGCACGGUGGAGGCAGAUGGAAUUCCCGGUGUAGCGGUGGAAUGCGUAGAGAUCGGGAAGAAUACCGGUGGCGAAGGCGUUCUGCUGGGCCGGUUGCUGACGCUGAGGCGCGACAGCGUGGGGAGCAAACA